rnacentral:rRNA from 1 species
UACGUAGGUGGCAAGCGUUGUCCGGAUUUAUUGGGCGUAAAGCGCCCGCAGGCGGCUUGAUAAGUUUCAGGUGGAAUCUCCCGGCUCAACUGGGAGGGUGCCUGGAAAACUAUCAGGCUUGAGUCAUGGAGAGGGAUGUGGAAUUCCCGGUGUAGUGGUGAAAUGCGUAGAUAUCGGGAGGAACACCAGUGGCGAAGGCGGCAUCCUGGCCAUGUACUGACGCUCAGGGGCGAAAGCGUGGGGAGCAAACCGG